ACGGCCAUACUACAUUGAAAACACCGGUUCUCGUCCGAUCACCGAAGUUAAGCAAUGUCGGGCCCUGUCAGUAUUUGGGAGGGUGACCACCUGGUAACACCGGGUGCUGUAGGCU
rnacentral:rRNA from 1 species